AGGGAAGAACAUAUGUGUAAGUAACUGUGCACAUCUUGACGGUACCUAAUCAGAAAGCCACGGCUAACUACGUGCCAGCAGCCGCGGUAAUACGUAGGUGGCAAGCGUUAUCCGGAAUUAUUGGGCGUAAAGCGCGCGUAGGCGGUUUUUUAAGUCUGAUGUGAAAGCCCACGGCUCAACCGUGGAGGGUCAUUGGAAACUGGAAAACUUGAGUGCAGAAGAGGAAAGUGGAAUUCCAUGUGUAGCGGUGAAAUGCGCAGAGAUAUGGAGGAACACCAGUGGCGAAGGCGACUUUCUGGUCUGUAACUGACGCUGAUGUGCGAAAGCGUGGGGAUCAAACAGGAUUAGAUACCCUGGUAGUCCACGCCG
rnacentral:rRNA from 1 species